rnacentral:rRNA from 1 species
UACGUAGGGUGCGAGCGUUAAUCGGAAUUACUGGGCGUAAAGCGUGCGCAGGCGGUUUUGUAAGCCAGAUGUGAAAUCCCCGGGCUCAACCUGGGAAUGGCAUUUGGGACUGGCACGCUCGAGUUCGGGAGAGGAUGGUGGAAUUCCCAGUGUAGAGGUGAAAUUCGUAGAUAUUGGGAAGAACACCGAUGGCGAAGGCAGCCAUCUGGACCGACACUGACGCUGAGGCGCGAAAGCGUGGGGGAGCAAACAGG